UGAACCACUUCGGUGGGGAUUAGUGGCGAACGGGUGAGUAACACGUGGGCAAUCUGCCCUUCACUCUGGGACAAGCCCUGGAAACGGGGUCUAAUACCGGAU
rnacentral:rRNA from 1 species